rnacentral:rRNA from 1 species
UCUAAGUAUAAGCAUUUAUACAGUGAAACUGCGAAUGGCUCAUUAAAUCAGUUAUCGUUUAUUUGAUAGUACCUACUAGAUGGAUAACCUCGGUAAAUCUGACGCUAAUACAUGCAUAAAAUCCCAACCUCUGGAAGGGAUGUAUUUAUUAGAUAAAAAAUCAAUGCCUUCGGGCUCUUUGAUGAUUCAUAAUAACUUGUCGAACCGCAUGGCUUUAGCUGGCGGUGGUUCAUUCAAAUUUCUGCCCUAUCAACUUUCGAUGGUAGGAUAGUGGCCUACCAUGGUUUCAACGGGUAACGGGGAAUAAGGGUUCGAUUCCGGAGAGGCAGCCUGAGAAACGGCUACCACAUCCAAGGAAGGCAGCAGGCGCGCAAAUUACCCAAUCCCGACACGGGGAGGUAGUGACAAUAAAUAACGAUACAGGGCCCUUUCGGGUCUUGUAAUUGGAAUGAGUACAAUGUAAAUACCUUAACGAGGAACAAUUGGAGGGCAAGUCUGGUGCCAGCAGCCGCGGUAAUUCCAGCUCCAAGAGCGUAUCUUAAAAUUGUUGCAGUUAAAAAGCUCGUAGUUGAACCUUGGGUCUGGCUGGCCGGUCCGCUUUUAUGCGAGUACUGGACCCAGCCGGGCCUUUCCUUCUGGCUAGCCCUCGUGGCGAACCAGGACUUUUACUUUGAAAAAAUUAGAGUGUUCAAAGCAGGCCUUUGCUCGAAUAUAUUAGCAUGGAAUAAUAGAAUAGGACGUUAUGGUUCUAUUUUGUUGGUUUCUAGGACCAUCGUAAUGAUUAAUAGGAACGGUCGGGGGC